CGGCACGGGUGAGUAACACGUAUCCAACCUGCCGUCUACCCUUGGACAGCCUUCUGAAAGGAAGAUUAAUACAAGAUGGCAUCAUGAGUCCGCAUGUUCACAUGAUUAAAGGUAUUCCGGUAGACGAUGGGGAUGCGUUCCAUUAGAUAGUAGGCGGGGUAACGGCCCACCUAGUCUUCGAUGGAUAGGGGUUCUGAGAGGAAGGUCCCCCACAUUGGAACUGAGACACGGUCCAA
rnacentral:rRNA from 1 species